GACAGAGGGUGCAAACGUUGUUCGGAAUUACUGGGCGUAAAGCGCGUGUAGGCGGCCAUGCAAGUCGGAUGUGAAAGCCCUCGGCUCAACCGGGGAAGUGCACUCGAAACUGCAAGGCUAGAGUCUCGGAGAGGAUCGUGGAAUUCUCGGUGUAGAGGUGAAAUUCGUAGAUAUCGAGAGGAACACCGGUGGCGAAGGCGGCUAUCUGGACGGUGACUGACGCUGAGACGCGAAAGCGUGGGGAGCAAACAGG
rnacentral:rRNA from 1 species